rnacentral:rRNA from 1 species
UACGGGGGGGCAAGCGUUGUUCGGAAUUACUGGGCGUAAAGGGCUCGUAGGCGGCCAACUAAGUCAGACGUGAAAUCCCUCGGCUUAACCGGGGAACUGCAUCUGAUACUGGAUGGCUUGAGUUCGGGAGAGGGAUGCGGAAUUCCAGGUGUAGCGGUGAAAUGCGCAGAUAUCAGGAGGAACACCGGUGGCGAAGGCGGGUCUCUGGGCCGAACUGACGCUGAGGAGCGAAAGCGUGGGGAGCAAACAGG